rnacentral:ncRNA from 2 species
AGAUAAGGCGGUGAUGAGGUUCACCAAAUAACCGCCCUUAAAAUAAUAAUAGGGAUGAUAACCUCUACUGACAG